UAAGAACCAUUCAAGCACCAAUGAAAAAUUUUGAUAAGGUGAAAGAAAUGGUCAUUCUAGAAUUCAAAGAUUUGAGAACAAUGAACUACGAAGUUGAGCAAUCUGAAGGGGAAAAAAUUACAAAAUUUUUACUCACUCACUAAUUAUGAUCCAAUUACAUUUGCAUGCUAAUGAAUAAAAGUUUUAUUUGCAUGCUAAUGAAGUUUUAUUGAUAUUUUUUUUAUUCGUAGGAAAAAGUCACAUACCAAGAAAUUUGCAACAAUUUGAUUACAGGUAUGUAAUCUUCCUUGGUAUUAUGCUUGGAUGGGAAUAACUAGUAGAGGUUGUGCCUUAUGCAAGGUAAUUCCAUAUUUCUCAGAUACAUCCAUGUCUUCUGGCUUUUGUCCAUCCGUGAGCUUCCAAUCAUAGUUGUAUAGAAGAGAUGCCAACACAACAUGCAGAGUUCUAGAUGCUAAUGGCAACCCAGGACAAAUCCUUCUUCCAGCUCCAAAGGGUAUUAGCUCAAAAU
rnacentral:lncRNA from 1 species